rnacentral:rRNA from 1 species
CAGCAGCCGCGGUAAUACGAAGGGUGCAAGCGUUACUCGGAAUUACUGGGCGUAAAGCGUGCGUAGAUGGUGGUUUAAGUCCGUUGUGAAAGCCCUGGGCUCAACCUGGGAAUUGCAGUGGAUACUGGGUCACUAGAGUGUGGUAGAGGAUAGUGGAAUUUCCGGUGUAGCAGUGAAAUGCGUAGAGAUCGGAAGGAACAUCUGUGGCGAAGGCGACUAUCUGGGCCAACACUGACACUGAGGCACGAAAGCGUGGGGAGCAAACAGGAUUAGAUACCCGGGUAGUCCCUGUCUCUUAUAC